GAGCUAUAACGCUAUC
rnacentral:rRNA from 9 species